rnacentral:rRNA from 1 species
GACAGAGGAGGCAAGCGUUGUUCGGAAUCAUUGGGCUUAAAGGGCGUGUAGGCGGCAACGCAAGUGUCGAGUGAAAUCCCAUCGCUCAACGAUGGAACGGCUCGGCAAACUGCGUGGCUUGAGGUCGGUAGAGGUGCUCGGAACUCUAGGUGGAGCGGUGAAAUGCGUAGAUAUCUAGAGGAACGCCUGAGGCGAAAGCGGGGCACUGGGCCGAUUCUGACGCUGAGACGCGAAAGCGUGGGGAGCGAACAGG